UUUAUGGAGAGUUUGAUUCUAGCUCAGAGCGAACGCUGGCGGCGUAGUUUAGACAUGCAAGUCGAACGAUAGAUUCUUUCGGGAAUCGAAAAGUGGCGAACGGGUGCGUAAUACGUGGACAACUUGCCUUCUAGUUUGGAAUAGCCCGCCGAAAGGCGGAUUAAUGCCGGAUGUGAUUUGAAAUCGCAUGAUUUUGAUAUUAAAGCUUGUGAUGGCGCUAGAAGAGAGAUUCACGGCCUAUCAGCUUGUUGGCGGGGUAAAAGCCCACCAAGGCGAAGACGGGUAGCUGAUCUGAGAGGAUGAUCAGCCACACUGGGACUGAGACACGGCCCAGACACCUACGGGUGGCAGCAGUUUCGAAUUAUUCACAAUGGACGCAA
rnacentral:rRNA from 1 species